UACAGAGGGGGCAAGCGUUGUUCGGAAUUACUGGGCGUAAAGGGCGCGUAGGCGGCCUGCUAAGUCGAACGUGAAAUCCCCGGGCUCAACCCGGGAACUGCGUCCGAUACUGGCAGGCUUGAAUCCGGGAGAGGGAUGUGGAAUUCCAGGUGUAGCGGUGAAAUGCGUAGAUAUCUGGAGGAACACCGGUGGCGAAGGCGGCAUCCUGGACCGGUAUUGACGCUGAGAAGCGAAAGCAUGGGGAGCGAACAGG
rnacentral:rRNA from 1 species